AGUGAACGCUGGCGGUAGGCCUAACACAUGCAAGUCGAACGGCAGCACAGUAAGAGCUUGCUCUUACGGGUGGCGAGUGGCGGACGGGUGAGGAAUACAUCGGAAUCUACUUUUUCGUGGGGGAUAACGUAGGGAAACUUACGCUAAUACCGCAUACGACCUACGGGUGAAAGCAGGGGAUCUUCGGACCUUGCGCGAUUGAAUUAGCCGAUGUCGGAUUAGCUAGUUGGCGGGGUAAAGGCCCACCAAGGCGACGAUCCGUAGCUGGUCUGAGAGGAUGAUCAGCCACACUGGAACUGAGACACGGUCCAGACUCCUACGGGAGGCAGCAGUGGGGAAUAUUGGACAAUGGGCGCAAGCCUGAUCCAGCCAUACCGCGUGGGUGAAGAAGGCCUUCGGGUUGUAAAGCCCUGUUGUUGGGAAAGAAAAGCAGCAGGUUAAUACCUCGCUGUUCUGACGGUACCCAAAGAAUAAGCACCGGCUAACUUCGUG
rnacentral:rRNA from 1 species